UUGAAAACAGAAAACACAUCUUUUGACAGUUUCAUACAGUACAAAUAAGGACACGGAGCCCAGACCCAAAACAUAUGGAACAGAUUUUAAUGCAAAAUUACCAAAUUUCUCAAUUUUUUUCCAAAAAUAAUAACAAUGGCACUAAGAAUCAGAUGAUUCCAAUCACACACAAAGAUCAUCGUCCCCAACCCCAAAAGGGAUGCAUGAAAAACUCCCAAGUCCGAAACUGGAUUUCAAUUUGUUCUCAAACCUCUUCACACCUCAAUAAUCAUCGCCAAUGGUCCUUCUACUUCGGUGAUGCCAGUUUCGAAUCCCCAACCCGAUAAACCUAAAUCUCGGAUCUACGUCUUUCAUUUCCUCGAUGGAACGGCACCCUCCACCUCCACCUGCGCUCACCCUGCCUCUCCGCCUUCACCGCCCACUUGGAAGUCACUGGCGAAUCACUUGCGUCGUUGCUCCGCUUUGCCAAGUCGUAGGUGUUGAACAAUACAAGGAUAUAAUUCUCACUGCCCAAGCUAAAGGCUUUGGCUGCUUUGCAAUCGGCGACCUCUAUGGUCCUCUUUACCACAUUUACUAUAUACUAAAGCUCCUACACUGUUCAUAAGCACUGUUCAUCACUGUUCACAUGCGAAAUGGCAGUUCUGCCCUCGAGUUCUAUACAGAGAUAAAAAGCGUGAGUUUUGUGGUGCGUUCUGGAAGCCUUCAUCGAGUGCAGUCGUGCAAACUGUUCAUUCUACUUUCGGUUUUGCUCUUAGAUAGAGACGCAUCGUCAAAGGCAGGUAUGAACUGUAUUGAUCAAGCUGUGAGAUAUAAAGGUUGGGCUUAAAGCAAAUAGGAGGGGUUUGGUUUUCACAGCUUUUGAAUUUUUGAUUUGUUGUAGCGUUUUGGAUUGUGAAUUUGGGUUUGUUUUGUGAAUAGGAGAGAUCCAAGAUUGUGGUAGCAUUUUGUUUUGUGAAUUUCGAUUUGGUUUCUAUCAGAACGAUUGGCAAGGGUGAAAAUUUGGGUUGUGAUUUUGUUUUUGAAAUUUGAUGUGUUUUUGAUUGAAUUGUUCAUAGGUUGAAUUUGCUUUCUUUAUUUUUAUAGUGUGCGCUAAGUCUAGAGGUUGUACGUAUUGAAGGGUGGUGAUUUAUCUGCGGACACCUACUGAAACUGGCAUAGCAGAUUAUUUACAAGCUCCAUUUGCUUUUGAUGAAGCUAACAGUUCAGCUAAUCUCUACUCUCUAGCUUGGUGCCCACUACUCCUCAAAUAAUCUAUUUCAGCAUUUUAGGUAUCUGAUGCAACAUGUGCCCCUUUCAGUUAAUUUGAUUAUGAUGCAGCCCAAUUUAAGUUUUUAUGACAGUCAUCAAAAAUACUCUUCAGAGCAAUUGAUUCCCUUCUUCAAAACAACCAAAAUCUAAGGAAAUGCUUAAAUAUUUUGACAUAGCUAUUUAUUCUCACCGAAUUCUGCUCGGGUUCCAAGUUAUCAGAAGAAGAGGCAGAGAAUAGAAAGAAGCACAAUCUGAUCCAGUGCUUGAGAGUCAAUCAAUACGUGGCGAAAGGGCUCAAAUGCCCAUGGGUUGAGAUGUCCAGUCCUUUAGAGUUUUUGUGGCAACCUGGAAUGUAGGGGGAAACCUCCCCAUGGUGGCCUUAAUCUGGACAAUUUUCUUCAGGUUAAUAAUCCAUCAGACAUUAAUGUCUUGGGGUAUGGUUUCUCUUCUUAUUUUUCGUCUUCUCUUCUGAUAUUCUUCAGGUUAAUAAUCCACCUUUUCCUAAUUCCUUUUGAAUUUUGAUUUUUUCUUAGCUGAUUUCGAUAAGAUUACACAAGGUAGUUUUUGAGCUGUUUACUAUGCCGAGCUGACAAAUGAGGUUUGCUUCUUUUACUAUUUUUUAUUUUACUUGCUGAGUUUUUUUUCUUAUCGUUUGUUUCUGGGUUUCGAUGGGUACAUUUGUUUUCCAUCUACUCUUGAUAUAUAAUUGUGCAUACCUGCUAUGAGUGUCAAGAGCAAAAUAUUUAUCUCAGAUAUACUGCAUGUAUAUCAACAAUGGAAACUUGAAGCAGUGACUUCAUGGAGUCUUGCUCAAUUACAUAACGCCAUUGAACCAAAGUUGAUACAUCGAGACAAUAAGUGGAGGCUUCUUCUUGGCCACGAAGCACUUUGUAAAGUAAUAUACCAUUUAGGGAUGAGAGAGCAGUUACUGACAUUGUUUUGCCAAAUCAAGUCUGACUGAUAAGAAAAUUGAAUUCAAGAGGGGAGUUGCCUCCAGGUGAGGUACUACUAAUGCCGCUGGAUGCAACUGUUGGACAGCAAAACAAGAAGCUGAGUGUCCAGAGGGAUGCAUAUUGGAUCACAGAACAAUUUGUGUUGAUGGAAAUCAAAGGCUUGGAGGAAUCAGAUGAUAUGGAAGUACUUUGUAGAGCAGUUCAAUUGCGAACAGUUUCCGUCUCUUCGCAAAAAUACUAUUCCAAUUGAUGUUAUAUAUGGUAUUUUAUCAAUUUGAUCAAUAAUAAAGUCAUUUUCAAUUAU